ACUUUCUCUGAGAGGUGUUGCAGGUGUGACUGCUGUGCCACUUAUGCAUCAGUAGGUGGCAGAGAGGAGAGAGGCCAUGUCUACCCUCAGUGUUCUGACCUGUGAGCAUCUGAAUGAUCAGUAGCCUCACACU